rnacentral:rRNA from 1 species
AUACGGAGGGUGCGAGCGUUAAUCGGAAUUACUGGGCGUAAAGCGUACGUAGGCGGUUGGUUAAGUUAGAUGUGAAAGCCCCGGGCUUAACCUGGGAACUGCAUUUAAAACUGGCGAACUAGAGUUGAUUAGAGGGGAGUGGAAUUUCAGGUGUAGCGGUGAAAUGCGUAGAGAUCUGAAGGAACACCAGUGGCGAAGGCGACUCCCUGGACUCGAACUGACGCUGAGGUACGAAAGCGUGGGUAGCAAACGGAAUUAGAAACCCUAGUAGUCC